AGAGGACGGUAUCUAGAGGCAUUCAGGAUGGUCCAGCGUUUGAUAUACCGUCCAUCAUAGGCUGUCCUACAAUACAGUCUCUAUCAAAACCAGGCUGUCCCAAACCCCCAGUAAUAGAAUUGUUUACCUUUAUACCAAGAAGGUUGGGAAAGCACCAAAAUCCACAUGUGGCAUGUGCCCAGGCCAACUUUGAGGAGUUCAUGCUGUGAGACCUAAAGUUCUUAUGAGGUUGUCUAAAACGAAAAAACAUGUCAGCCAGGCCUAUGGUGGUUCCAUGUGUGCUAAAGUGUGUCCGUGACAGGAACAAGCACACUUUUCUUACUAAGAGAAAAUCGUUGUGAAAGUGUUGAAAGCACAAGCAUAGAGUCAGAAAGCUAAAUAAAAAAAUGAAGCUUUUUUGGGUAAUAAAAAAAAAAUCAAAA